AAGACGCUAGUAAAACGGUACAUUAUACCGCCUUGUCAAGGCAGAGUUGUGGGUUAAAAUCCUGCGUGUCUUA
rnacentral:tRNA from 1 species